CUACGGGAUGCACCAGUGGGGAAUAAUGCACAAUGGAGGAAACUCUGAUGCAGCAACGCCGCGUGGAGGAUGACACUUUUCGGGGCGUAAACUCCUUUUAUAUAGGAAGAAGAUGACGGUACUAUAUGAAUAAGCGCCGGCUAACUCCGUGCCAGCAGCCGCGGUAAUACGGAGGGCGCAAGCGUUACUCGGAAUCACUGGGCGUAAAGAGCGUGUAGGCGGAUUAAAAAGUCAGAGGUGAAAUCCUAUAGCUUAACUAUAGAACUGCUUCUGAAACUCUUAAUCUAGAAUAUGGGAGAGGUAGAUGGAAUUUCUGGUGUAGGGGUAAAAUCCGUAGAGAUCAGAAGGAAUACCGAUUGCGAAGGCGAUCUACUAGAACAUUAUUGACGCUGAGACGCGAAAGCGUGGGGAGCAAACAGGAUUAGAUACCCCUGUAGUC
rnacentral:rRNA from 1 species